rnacentral:rRNA from 1 species
CGUGUAGGCGGGAGAAUGUGUCAGAAGUGAAAUCGCGCGGCUUAACCGUGUCAAUGGCUUCUGAAACUGUUCUUCUUGAAUGCAGGAGAGGCAGAUGGAAUUCCAGGUGUAGCGGUGGAAUGCGUAGAUAUCUGGAAGAACACCGGUGGCGAAGGCGGUCUGCUGGCCUGUGAUUGACGCUGAGGCGCGAAAGUGUGGGGAGCAAACAGGAUUAGAUACCCUGGUAGUCCACACCAUAAACGAUGGUUACUAGUUGUCGGAGGAUUCGACCCCUUCGGCAACGACGCUAACGCAUUAAGUAACCCACCUGGGAGUACGCUCGCAAGGGUGAA